rnacentral:rRNA from 1 species
CCUACGGGUGGCACCAGUGGGGAAUAUUGCACAAUGGGCGCAAGCCUGAUGCAGCCAUGCCGCGUGUAUGAAGAAGGCCUUCGGGUUGUAAAGUACUUUUAGCGGGGAGGAAGGUGUUGAGGUUAAUAACCUCAGCAAUUGACGUUACCCGCAGAAGAAGCACCGGCUAACUCCGUGCCAGCAGCCGCGGUAAUACGGAGGGUGCAAGCGUUAAUCGGAAUUACUGGGCGUAAAGCGCACGCAGGCGGUCUGUCAAGUCGGAUGUGAAAUCCCCGGGCUCAACCUGGGAGCUGCAUUCGAAACUGGCAGGCUGGAGUCUUGUAGAGGGGGGUAGAAUUCCAGGUGUAGCGGUGAAAUGCGUAGAGAUCUGGAGGAAUACCGGUGGCGAAGGCGGCCCCCUGGACAUAGACUGACGCUCAGGUGCGAAAGCGUGGGGAGCAAACAGGAUUAGAUACCCGAGUAGUC